ACACCUCCUCUGACGCCUUCCCCUCCCUCUCGCCUCGUCUCCCACCCACCAUGGCCGAGGUCGCCAACGCGCCCGUCACACAGCGCCUGGAGCCUCCACCUCCCUCCUCCCUCUGCUGCCCUCAGCGGCGACUUGCGGCCGCUCCUCGCCCGUGCUCCAGCCGCCACCCUCGUGUUGAAGCCUUGAAGGUGCGGGCCCAAAAGGAGGCGCUGAUCCCUCCCUUGCAGGAGGAGCAAGGCACCAAGCCUCGAAGGUCACAGCCUGAUGGCGCCUACCCCGCCGCUUCGGCCUGGGGCCGUUGGGGAGUCAUGGCCGACAUCGGCCUCAAGUUCUUUGCCUGAUGCUGUCGGCCAACAUAUACUAUAGGUGCUGAAGGGUAGUAUCUCGGCGGUUCAUGUCACAUAUGUGCUUACGGAUUUGCACUGAAUCUGCUAAUUGUCAUUGUGAAGGCUGCAACUUUACUAAACAAGAUGAAAUAUGAUGAUGCAUAUAUUUUAGUUUUCAAGGAGACAAAUCAUAAUUGUUGCGUGCAUAUCAGGUGAAGCAAACUUCAUAGUGUUCUUUCAGCUAAUUCUCUUUGAGGUUUGUGUAGGUUUUUGAUUUUUCACGACUCGUCGACAGUUGCCGGGAAUGCACCCAGAAUAUGCGGUAGACCAAAAUUUCUCUACAUUUAUAUCAUUCCACAGAAAAAGGGAAGCUGCAUAAGAAUUAUCAAGUCGUUGGAUAUGUAAAUACAUACAGAUGUAGCUUGAUUUGGUCUUUGAGUUCUUUUUUGUACGGGAUCGAUAGGUGGCUGGAGGUCGUCCCCGUGGUGAUCGCAGUAGAUCGUGUAAUGUCAUGGCAUAAAUCACAGAGACGUUCCUCUGUUCUUCUUGCCCUUCGAGUCCGCACCAGAAGCAGGGGUCCUCAUCGAUCGAUCUCUCUCGGUUCUGUCGGCGUUAGCCAUGGUGUUGUUGGGGUUCUUUGUCAGCUUCUCUUUGCCGGCAUCGAUGACGCCCAAUUGUGGCGUACAGCCUUGGAGUAGCAGCGGACAGCGGUGCUGCAAACUCCAGCUCCAGUGGCAUUGACAGCAGCUUCCUGGGCAGUCUGUGGGCACCGUUAUUCAGGAACAGCAGUAGCACCUUAAAUGCCACUUCAGGGAUGCCUUAGCUUCUCCUCACCAUCGACGACCUCCCCUCCUCCUCGCACCAGAUUGAGCAGCAGGCUAGACAGAGCAGAGCGGAGCGAAUGGGUCGUGCCAGAACCAGCAUAACACGGUCGCGGGCGGUGAGGGCGAGGCUGAGUCGCUGGACUACGGACUCGUGGAGGAGGAAAUCCAGGGCUCGGGUUUCAUCUACAUGGUCGACUGCUCGGGUGCUGUGCAGCGGGUCAGUGCUUGGACGCUCUUCAAAGCUUUCGUCUUUAUUGUCUCGUACACCUUUGGCUACACGCUCGACCAACAUGACGGCCCAUGCAGCAAGUUCUAGGCCGGCCGCAACCAUGACAUUGACGGCAUCCAUAACAAUCAUGUAUCCUUCGACAUCUGGAUCGACUACUGCUCCCUCCUCGACUACGACGACGGGCUCAUCGACAUCACAGUCUCCAGCAAUAUGGUCAUUGAUGCAACAAACAAGGAGAACAAGUCCAGGUUCAUCAAUCAUAGUUGUGAACCAAACACAGAGAUGCAGAAAUGGACUGUAGAUGGAGACCAGAGUUGGAAUGUUUGCUCUUCUUGACAUGGAGAGAGGGGAGGAGCUGACAUAUGACUAUAAAUAUGUCCAGUUUGGAGCAGAUCACAAUUGUCAUUGGGGAUCUUCAAACUGCAGAAAAAUGGUUGGCAUGUCUAGGAAGACAGGGCUUCUGGCAGGAGGGGAUCUGCUUUUCCUCCUGAUCUUCUCCGUAAUUGGGAGGUUGAGCCAUGGCCUACCCGUGCUUCUAAAUACUUCAUUGGAGAAAUGUAUAGCGAUAAUUCACUUAGGAGUACAAUUUCAGUAGUAAUGACAAGAACCGACAGUGGGACUACAACACUAUGUUUCAUGUGCCUUGGAGAUGUGAACGGCUAAUAGUUGCAGGAUUCUUUGUCUGCUUGGAGUGCCCCGAUGCAGGCUUAGUCCACAUGAGGAGCGAGCUCGCUGUGGAUCUUACCCUUGUGCCAAUGCCAUGGACAAGGUGCCCUCUCCACCUCUUCUCUCUGUGUGUUAGUGUGUUCGAUUUGAAGCUGGUCCUCUGUUCGUAAAGCUCAGGGCGGGGGCAGGAGGUCAUGGCGAGCCCGACGCCCAUAGGCAGAGGCAACAGGAGUUGGUGGAGUGGCGGAUGCGGCCGGUGUCGGCAGUUGAGGGAGGCUUGCCGGCCGGAGUGACAUGAGUAGUCCGAUAAUCGCGUCGCAAGAGGCUGCUCUCCUUUGCCGAGGUUGCUCUGCCUCUUUCCAUUGUUUCCUUUUGUGCCGUUAGAUUGUUGCUCGUCACCUGUUCAUACAUAUGCCUGUGGGCCUGUGUGUUUCUUUGUAGUCCAUAUCAUGUGAUUCACAGCCUGCUCUAAAAUUUUGUUUGUGUUGGACAAGUCGGCUACUAAUUCCAGUUUGUGUGCGGUUGCGUGUGUGAAGUGGCUGCCUUGUGCAGUUGAGGAACAAAACAGAAAAAGGAAAGGAGUCAAUACAGACCUGACCAGCAGGAAAGCACAUGUGGUCUGCUAUGGGUGUUGGAGGAGAUAGAUUUUGGUCCAUCAGAGUCUACUUGGAAGCUGACAAUACAUGCUAUGCCUCUGUUCAGGCAUGGGUCCUAUUUGAUAAUAAAGCAGGAACCAUGGUGGUUGGAUACAAUGCAAUACUUUGAUAGCUGGCCGAAUCAAUCCAUCCCAUGAGUGAAGAGUAUACUUCUAUAAUUUCCUACAAAAUAUAUGGGUAAGCAUUCUCACUUCACUAGCUUGUUUAUUAAGAGGUACAAGUGGGUGGCCAGCUGCAUACUCUAGAUGACAAUGUCAAGACCUAUCUUAUUUAGAUUUAUGUUGGUUUUUUGAUUUCAUUUAUUUUCAAUGGAUGGAUAUUAAGAAAUUUUUAUAUCGGCAUUUUGUGGCUGGAUGAACAAGGAGCUGGAAAAGUAUUUGCAAAAAUAAUGGUUGCUUAUUACAGGGUAAACCCAAUAAAUUUGUAUGUACAUUUAGAUGACCUUAUCUUUGUUUCUGGAUUGAUUAGUUAAGCCACUAACAUAUCCUUAUGUUAUAUACUCCCUCUCGGAGUAUCUAAAUAAACUAGCAUUUCUAACUCAAGCUAUGGAGCGACAUUGGGGACCAAACAAGGUGGCAUAAUGUGCUGAGAAAAGAUAGGGGCGCACAAAAACGCCUCAAGAGGCGCACGAAAGUGCGCCCCAACCACUAGUUGAAGUUAUCUUGGAUGAGCUGGCUGGAGCACGCUGGUUCUUCAAGUUAGGUUUGCGCUCGUGCAAUCACCAAAUUCGCCUGGCGGCAGAAGGGGAGGAGUACAAAACAACUUUUUUUUAGAAUCACAAAACAGCUUUUCAAACACAUUCUGGCCAUUUUAAAGGUGGUGCAUUUUGGCCUCGGUGGAGCACCCGUAACCUUUGUUGGGCUACGAAUGUCACAUUACAGUACAGCCGGUGUUACGCCUUUGUGUCAUGGUUUUGUCUGUUUUUUAUCCGCUUGGAUCGGCCGAGCGGACGAACGCGUCCAUUUUUUGAUUUGGGUAGACCGAUGCGCUCAAUGGGUGCCAAAACCAUUUUUUCCCACGCAAAAAAAGAAUUUUCGAAAACAUGUGGCCGAAAUGAACAUAAUUAAGCAUUAAUGGUCGGUGAACCACAGGUCAAAAUCCACUUAAAAAUUAAUUAAACAUUAGAAAAAAUACCACACCCGCACCCGCACACUGCCCUAGGCUCCGUCCUUGCCCUAGCAUUUGUCGUCGUCGCCGUCGCCGGUGAGGUCGAUGAAUGUUGGUGGCUGCCCAGCCCACGCGAACGCCUCUGCCACGGUGCCAACGCGGCCUCUCCGGCGUCUGCAGCGGCGGUGGUAUUGCGGUGCACUUCUCCUCCUCCUCACGCUCCCACAACAUCUGUUGCUCGCUGUCGGCCUGCUCCUCGACGAGCCGGUGUUGUUUCCGCCGCUCCAAGUGGCUCUCCUCCUCCUCCGGCGUCGCGUCGAAGUGGAUGGGGCGCUCUCACCCACUCGCGGACCGCGUCGGUCCACGAGUACGACUCGUCGGGCCAAGUGAGCGGCGGCGGCGACCGCUUACGACUGGCCUCAGGCUCGGCCAUGGGCUGAAGGAUAGGCCGCGGCGGUCAUGGGGGGCGUACACGGAGUCCCCCGCGGCCGACAGGGCGAGGGCCUGCUCCAAGUUGUCCCAGUGCGCGUCCUCCUCGAGCCAGCUUUCCUCGAGCGAGCUGGCUUUCCUCGAGCGCGC